rnacentral:rRNA from 1 species
GACGAACGCUGGCGGCGUGCUUAACACAUGCAAGUCGAACGAAGUGGCGAACGGGUGAGUAACGCGUAAUCAACCUGCCCUUCAGAGGGGGACAACAGUUGGAAACGACUGCUAUUCCCGCAUACUGAAGGAGGGGAUUGCGUUUGAUUAGCUAGUUGGAGGGGUAACGGCCCACCAAGGCGAUGAUCAGUAGCCGGUCGUAGAGGAUGAACGGCCAAAAUGGGACUGAGACACGGUCCAGACUCCGUCGGGAGGACGGAGUGGGGAAACAUGGGCAAUGGACGAAAGGCUGGCGGAGGAAAGCCGCGGGGGUGGUAGAGGCCUUCGGGUUUGAAAGCUCUGUUAAGCGGGACGCGGUACCGGAAGAGAAAGCAACGGCUAACUACGUGCCAGCAGCCGCGGUAAUAC